AUGCCUAUUUGGUCUCUUUGCCAUCUGCCAACAGAUGGCAAAGAGCCUGCAGCCUUUGCCGUCAGCUGGCGGACGGCAAAGGCUGCCGUUAGCCACCUAACGGACACUAACACUACUCAUUUUGCCGUCCGCGGCAGACGGCAAAGGCGCCUUUGCCGUCAGCCGCCGAAAGCAGACGGCAAAGUAGGUCUUUGCCGUAGCCUACUUUGCCGGAGCCUUUUGCCGUCCGCGGCUGACGGCAAAGGCCUUUGCCGUCCGCCGUUCAUGCCUUUGCCGUCCGCCGUGGCAGACGGCAAAGUAGCUGAUUCCUGUAGUGUUAGUAACGUAAUCAACAACAACUAA
rnacentral:rRNA from 1 species